UGGGAACGCUGGCGGCAGGCCUAACACAUGCAAGUCGAACGGAUCCUUCGGGAUUAGUGGCGGACGGGUGAGUAACGCGUGGGAACAUACCCAAAGGUACGGAAUAGCCUCGGGAAACUGGGAGUAAUACCGUAUGUGCUCGAAAGAGGAAAGAUUUAUCGCCUUUGGAUUGGCCCGCGUUGGAUUAGGUAGUUGGUGGGGUCAUGGCCUACCAAGGCGACGAUACAUAGCUGGUGUGAGAGGAUGGUCAGCCACACUGGGACUGAGACACGGCCCAGACUCCUACGGGAGGCAGCAGUGGGGAAUCUUAGACAAUGGGGGAAACCCUGAUCUAGCCAUGCCGCGUGAUCGAUGAAGGCCUUAGGGUUGUAAAGAUCUUUCAGGUGGGAAGAUAAUGACUGUACCACCAGAAGAAGCCCCGACUAACUCCGUGCCAGCCGCCGCCGUAA
rnacentral:rRNA from 1 species